rnacentral:rRNA from 1 species
CCUACGGGGUGCUGCAGUGAGGAAUAUUGGUCAAUGGACGAGAGUCUGAACCAGCCAAGUCGCGUGAAGGAUGACUGCCCUAUGGGUUGUAAACUUCUUUUAUAUGGGAAUAAAAUGUUCCACGUGUGGGUUUUUGUAUGUACCAUAUGAAUAAGGAUCGGCUAACUCCGUGCCAGCAGCCGCGGUAAUACGGAGGAUCCGAGCGUUAUCCGGAUUUAUUGGGUUUAAAGGGAGCGUAGGUGGAUUGUUAAGUCAGUUGUGAAAGUUUGCGGCUCAACCGUAAAAUUGCAGUUGAAACUGGCAGUCUUGAGUACAGUAGAGGUGGGCGGAAUGCGUGGUGUAGCGGUGAAAUGCUUAGAUAUCGCGAAGAACUCCGAUUGCGAAGGCAGCUCACUGGACUGCAACUGACACUGAGGCUCGAAAGUGUGGGUAUCAAACAGGAUUAGAUACCCGAGUAGUC